AGCUCCAAUAGCGUAUAUUAAAGUUGUUGCGGUUAAAAAGCUCGUAGUUGGAUCUGCGGUCAUAGAUGCCGGUCGCCCAUUGGGUCGUACUGGUUAUCUUGACCUACCUUACUGGUUUUCCCUUGGUGCUCUUCACUGAGUGCCCUGGGUGGCUAGUACUUUUACUUUGAAAAAAUUAGAGUGCUCAAUGCAGGCGUCUGCCUGAAUAGUGGUGCAUGGAAUAAUGGAAUAGGACCUCGGUUCUAUUUUGUUGGUUUUCGGAAGUUGAGGUAAUGAUUAAGAGGAACAGCCGGGGGCAUUUGUACUGCUACGUUAGAGGUGAAAUUCUUGGAUCGUAGCAUGACAAACAACUGCGAAAGCAUUUGCCAAGAAUGUUUUCAUUAAUCAAGAACGAAAGUAG
rnacentral:rRNA from 1 species